rnacentral:tRNA from 1 species
GACCGCGUAGCUCAGUUGGCAGAGCAUUGGACUAGUAUUCCAAAGGUCGUAGGUUCGAUUCUCACCGUGGUCA